AGAGAGCCACUACCUUCUAUCGGCUCUCCACGUGUUUCCCUUCCAAAGCUGAGAACUUUUUCAAAGAUGACGACCUUUUCUUUAUGGAGGAUAACUAUGUGUAGUUAGGAAUAUAAAUGUGGUUCCAUUUCUCUUCUAGAGCCUCCACACCAACAGCUAAAUGCCAUUUGUAUAAGUUCGCAGGAAACAAAUUAGAGCGGAGAAAUUAGGGACCUGUAUU
rnacentral:sRNA from 1 species